GGGUGACCACGCUGAAGAAGACCCCGUGAUAGUUGCGCCACUUGGAUUAGAUUAACCUCGCUCAAGCAUCCAUUCCAGCUUGCCCAAAAUCAGUGUUGCAGACAGAGCUGGGAAGGAAGGCUUUUUAGGCAACUAGUGUGUAACCCAACAAGGCCUGCGGAUGCUCGAGUCCAUGUCCCAAAGCAAUGCACCUCCAGACCUCGAUGGUCAGCAUUUUCAUCGCGCUCUGUACCUUGCGGCGUCCUUCGCUUGCACCCAGAAGCACAUUACUGAUGCUUCCAGACUAGAAUGAAAUUAACGCCGGUGUUUUCUGGGUUAUCUUGCUAUCCACGAUAAUUACAUAUGCUUAAACUCUGAAGGACAGCGGCACUGAUUUGCGGAGGCUGUUGGCUGGGUGAUCGUCCAUGGCUUGCGUCCGCCAGAAACAGAUUUCAUGCAGUGGACACAUGUGGAAUUUCGGAAUUAGGGUUUGAAUCCUAACCCCUAAUACUUGGGCUGCUUUACUCUAAACUUAAGCUAGCUCCUGGUUGUAUAGAGGGAGCAGCAACUAAACUUGUGGUUGAAAGAAUUGAAACAAUUCUAGCAUGGUAUUGCAGGGGCAUAAUGAAAUAAUGGUAGUGUAUAUGGUAUGCAUGCAUGUGUGUAACUAUAGCACAUUAUUAUUAGAAUAAUUUGGUUAAAAAGUGUAAUUAUUUAAUAUGAAACCUAGCUUUGUAUUACUGAAUUGUGUUUUGAGAUCAUGGGUAAUGUUAAAAAUGAGUCUAUAUUUAA